UCCCUUACAAAAGGCACCUGUAACAACAUCCGAUCUUGUAGCUAAAUUUAAAGCUAGGCUAAAAACUCCAGAGGACAAGAAGGCUUUUGCAGACAUUCUCCGGCGAAUUUCUAAGAUACAAAAGACGAACGGACCUAACAACUAUGUCGUGUUGAGAGAAAAGUAAUCGCUCAAUCGCCAUGUUUAAACGUUGUGCCGAAAUAAAAAUUUUCUUAUGCUUUGUUCUUCAAUUAAGAGGGAAAAACGUAUCUACCUCUUUCUGGAAAUGGAUUUUGCAAGUGGCAAAGAUAGCCAGAAACAAGAGGUGAUAAAGAAGGGUAUCUGGUCUAUCAUCAUUGUAAGCAAAGCUUCUUCCUGUGUGAAAUUUAAGACAGGUACCUGGAGACAUUGUAUACCUACAUGGAUUUUACUGGAGGUUUCCAGUUUCGAAUGGCUAAACAAUCUCACACAGCUCUAA